GUACAGACUAUAAGAUUUAUUACUUCCUUGUAUUACGUUAUUCUGACAAUGGAAAGAUAAGCUUUUGCAUACGUCUGGAAAAGAAUAUCCUGAAAUCGGAAUGGGCAAGACAUCCUGAAAUUUUAGCAUUGUCUUACAUCCUAUAGAAGAAAUACCUUAGUCUGUCACAGUCAGCAUAUUGACUUUAAGUAUUCAAUAUCCCUUCAGUCAGCAAUAAUCAUGUUAUAAACCUUAUAAAAGCAUAAAAUACAUAUAAACAAGUUAACUAUUUAAUAUUCUUACAUUCCCCUCUUUGAGCAAUAAAACAAUUGCUCAUCUUAUCGAUAAAAUCUUACCAGGACAGAGAAACUUCCACAUGGUAUUUUCAGGGGUGCUAGUCACUCCCUGCGGGACUUUCAUUAAUUUCUUCACCUCGAUUCCCAUGUGGUAAUUCCUAAGGCCCAGUUUAAAGAUGGGUUGAUACUCUCCAGUGGCAGAGAGGAGAAUUUCUAAUUGUUUCUGUUCUGCAUUAUGGAUUAAUUUCUGUACUCUCUUCCUCAAUGUACAAGUAAGGUGACAGUUAUAUAAAAUCAUACACAAUAAAAUCAGGACUAUAAUAACAAAAUGAUAGAAGAAUGAUUUCAUUAUCUGGGAUCCAGUAGGGGACCAACCAGUAAAGCAUUGUACCAAUGAUGGGCUAAAUCAUUCUGAAUUUGUGAACUCACCUUAAGGAGUUCUCCUUUUAGGAUAUGUGUGGCUACCUGUGUGUGUUAUCUUUGGGAAAAAGAUAGUCCCCUGUGUAUGUGGGUGCCCACCAGGUUAAAUUCUUGGCAAAAAGAUCAUAAACUGGUACUGGUAAUGUGUUAAAUUGACAAGCUAAUUUAACAUCCUUUGAUAAUGUAUGAUAUAAUGUUAAAUAGCAUGAGCAUGAAAAAAUGUGAAACAUUACCAGUUAACCAUCCAUUGCAUUUACUGGAUUGGGGUUUUAGAAGUAACCAAUCAUUAUCUGUGAGGUUACACAUUCCUCUAAUCUUCUCUAGUUUAGGAAUCAUUAGUGUGUUUUCUAAUGCCAAUCCUUGUUGUUGUAUCCAUAAAUACCUGAUGGCACAGGUACUCCAGUUACCGAGAUCUGUGGUGAAUUUCAUAGUUGCAACAGUUAAAUUAUCUAAAUAAUUAUACAUUGAUUUAUCUAAAUCCAAUCCUAUAACCUGUGAUUUAACAACAAUUGGAGCCCAGUUUGCAGUAGCAUGAAAACCAGUCCCCAUAUGCAUGCUGGCUGUGUUUAACUUAUUCUUGAGGGUCUCCAUAUCUAUAACUAUUUAGUAUACUCAUAGUGGUUCCAGCACCUCCUAACAGUGUGUCAUACCAUUCCCUUUUCUGCCUUUGUUUGUUGUAUUACAUAAUGUUACAACAAGAGUAGUGACUUUUAAUGACACAUGUACAGCUUGUAAGAAGGCAGUUGUAUUAACACAUGUGGACGGAAUAGGUGUGUCUGUGUCGUGUUUGACUUUUGGUUCUAUGGUAGAGGAUAAAGGACAGUAAGGUGUAAAAAUAUAAGGUAGUGUAUAGUUCUCAAUUGCAGUGUCGUUCAUAAUGACUAACAUUUGUCCCCUUCUCCGAUUAAUGAUACCAGUUAUAUAAUCAUUAUUAAAAGUAAUAAGGCCUGUCUGUUUACAUUGAUAUGCAACCUUAACUGUGCACAUUUCUGCGUUAUAAGAUCUAACAAUUUUCUGUGAACCUUCAAACAAACAUAAUGCAUCGGUUUCAUUAGCUGUAGACACAUUCCAUAUGGGUAACUGGUACUUAUAAGGGUUAUUAUUUAUCCAAUUCAUCCAAAUGCGUUCAGUGAAUGAAUGAUUGCAUAUUACAUGCUGAUAGAAAGGUGGUGGAGAAAGGUUCUUGAGGGGGCGUGUGUGACGAAUGCUAGAUGAGGGGCUAAGGCCUAAUUGGGCUGGGGGUAUUGAAGAAUUGUUCAUCAUGUCAGAGUCUUUUUCCAGAACUUGCCAUUGACUUGUACUCAUAAUGGCAUUCAAGG